rnacentral:rRNA from 1 species
AUUGAACGCUGGCGGCAGGCCUAACACAUGCAAGUCGAGCGAGCGGCGGACGGGUGAGUCAUGUAUGGGGACUGCCCGAUAGAGGGGGAUAACUACUGGAAACGGUGGCUAAUACCGCAUCCAGUCGGAUCACCCCUAUGGGAUUAGCUAGUAGGUAAGGUAAUGGCUUACCUAGGAGACGAUCCCUAGCUGGUCUGCGAGGAUGAUCAGCCACACUGGGACUGCUACACGGCCCAGACUCCUACGGAGGCAGCAGUGGGGAAUAUUGCACAAUGGGCGAAAGCCUGAUGCAGCCAUGCCGCGUGUAUGAAGAAGGCCCUAGGGUUGUAAAGUACUUUCAGUCGGGAGGCGUUACCGACAGAAGAAGCACCGGCUAACUCCGUGCCAGCAGCCGCGGUAAUAC